rnacentral:lncRNA from 1 species
AGCGAACACAGGUUUUUCCCCUAAAAGCUGGCUUUCUUCCCUCCAUCCAGGUUGUGCUGCCUCUCUGCCUGCUGCAGCUGGCUGGCACCUCUGAGAAGGCUGCCACGUCACACCUUGCUGGAGUCGGGGAGAAUGUGAAGCAGAAAUGUGUGUCUGGAAGCUCAGCUGAAACACUGGAAGAGUUGCAAGCUCUGAAAGGCAGGAGCUAUGAAAUGAUUGUAUUCAGCCUAUCUAGGAAGCACUUUACAAAGGAGAAUCCUGGUCAACAUCACAUUUAAAAGAUCAAGUCUCCCUAAUGUGACCUCAUGUCCUACCUGCUUGGCUAUCACAAGGUACCAAAAUCCAAAGUUUUUUUUCACAUCUCACCUCCCUAAACUGUUCCUGUAUUUUACUGUGAUAAUUUAAUGUAAAAAUACACAAGACUAAAGACACACCUCUUACCCUGCUGUGUACCCUAAGUCUUGAACUUUUUCCACCCAUGUGCACUUGUUCCAGAAUUGGGAAUCACCUUUGGUAUGUGGGGCUCCACACCAGCAGGCAGAGCCAUGGUACUUUUGUCAUGAAUUUGUUCUGCACAUGAGUGGUGAAUCUGGUGCUCCAGGGAGGUGCAGGAAAGGAACAAGUCCACUGUGUAUGAGAGGCAGUCACAGGGCAGAGGCUUUGUGUGGCCACCUGAACCCCCCUUGGUGCUGAAUGAGGCACAUGGGUGCUCAUAAAGAAUAGAGACCAAGUAAAAGUGAAAUCUCAAACCCAACCUCCAAAAUAUACCCUUGGCACAGUCCAUGAUGCUGAGUGUGAGAUCAAUCACUGUGGAAUCACCCCCUCCCAAAUGUUGGCAACUGAAGCACAGAAGCACUGAAUGACUUGAUUAGACACAGGCAACCUCGAGGACCCAGGAGAUGUCCCUUUUAUAGAAGUCUCUGUCUGGUUCUUUACCAUAAAACCAAGGCCCUUCUCAGAAGAGUUUUCCCAGGGCCUUGCACCAUCUGUUGCUGACUUUUACUGUAACUAAGUUGGUUUAAAAAUAAUGACAUUUUUCUUCUGUAACUGUGAUAUCAGCAGAGGGGAAGUCCUGCACAUAUGUAGGUGAAGAAAUGAGAAUAUGCAACCAGAGAAUAGGUGUUUAUUCUCCCACACUUUCUGUUUUGCUUAACAGUACUAACCCCCCUUUACUUGUAAGCACUUGAGUGCAUCAGUGCCUUUUACUUUCAAUUUGAAUCACAAGUAAUUUUAAUCUGCUUAGGAUCUCACAAGGCACCUACCCACUGCAUUCCACAC